AUUGAACGCUGGCGGCAUGCUUUACACAUGCAAGUCGAACGGUAACAGGCCGCAAGGUGCUGACGAGUGGCGAACGGGUGAGUAAUGCAUCGGAACGUGCCCAGUCGUGGGGGAUAACGCAGCGAAAGCUGUGCUAAUACCGCAUACGAUCUAUGGAUGAAAGCGGGGGACCGUAAGGCCUCGCGCGAUUGGAGCGGCCGAUGUCAGAUUAGGUAGUUGGUGGGGUAAAGGCUCACCAAGCCAACGAUCUGUAGCUGGUCUGAGAGGACGACCAGCCACACUGGGACUGAGACACGGUCCAGACUCAUACGGGAGGCAGCAGUGGGGAAUUUUGGACAAUGGACGCAAGUCUGAUCCAGCCAUGCCGCGUGCGGGAAGAAGGCCUGCGGGUUGUAAACCGCUUUUGUCAGGGAAGAAAGCUUCUGGGCUAAUACCCUGGGAGGAUGACGGUACCUGAAGAAUAAGCACCGGCUAACUACGUGCCAGCAGCCGCAGUAAUAC
rnacentral:rRNA from 1 species